rnacentral:rRNA from 1 species
UGCCAGCCGCCGCGGUAAUACGGAGGGUGCAAGCGUUAAUCGGAAUUACUGGGCGUAAAGGGUAUGCAGGUGGCUUGACUAGUCGGAUGUGAAAGCCCCGGGCUUAACCUGGGAACUGCAUUCGAUACUGUCAGGCUAGAGUAUGGGAGAGGAAAGUGGAAUUCCCGGUGUAGCGGUGAAAUGCGUAGAUAUCGGGAGGAACAUCAGUGGCGAAGGCGGCUUUCUGGCCCAAUACUGACACUCAUAUACGAAAGCGUGGGGAGCAAACAGGAUUAGAUA